CAGGAGAGAAAGACGCAGCAGAGACAGUGAGAAGAGAGAGAUUCUCAUCUGAAGGUUGAAGCUUUCCUGUCAGUUCCUGUUUGGUGGCCUGUCCCUUGUGACCUAAAUGCUAAAUCCCCUCCCUUAAUCUCUCUCUCUCUCUCUCUCUCUCUCCCUCUCCCUCUCUCUCUCUCUCAUUUCUUGCUGCGUAACUCUUUCAUCGGUCUCCGAUCCCAAAGCAUAACAAAAAGAAGACGAUGCCGGGUCUUGUCUCGGUCAAGACGCCACCCGAGGCAACCCCUCUCCGCAUCUCCGUUCCCGAGAUCGAACCCCAGUCCCAGCCUCAGCCACAGCCUCAGUUUCAGUCUCAACCACGACCCGAACCAGCUGUUCCCAAAACGCCAAACAAGAAGCCUCCUUCUUCAUCCCCUUCUCGAUCUAAACCUUCUCCGACCCGCUCCGCUAAGAAGCCCCCGCC
rnacentral:misc_RNA from 1 species